UGCUAACAUAUAAUAUAUACCAGUAAAUAUUAAUCGCCAUGCUUUCAUUUAAUGUGCAGAUUUGAAUAAAAAUGUUCUGUGUGAUACAUGGCAGACGGAUCAACCAAUAGGUCUCUUAAAGCGAUUAUUCUUACAUUUGAAUCGGAUCGCACUUGUAAUACGUAUAUCCACGAGACGGCAAGGUAUAUUGGAUACACUCUUCAGAACUUCUAUUAGAAAGAGAGAAUGAUGAAGAUGACAGGCGGAUCAACCAUUAUUGCAUUAACAACUAUUCUGAUAUUAAUUUUCCAGGGGCGGUGCCAGGAAUGUGAAGAAGGAAAAUAUGGUACUAUUUGUAAUGAAACUUGUGGGCAACAUUGUUUGGAUAGUAGAUGCAACCAAGACGAUGGGUCAUGUACAUGUAAAAAAGAGUACAA